rnacentral:lncRNA from 10 species
GAAGAUUAAAUAUAAAGUCCUACACUUUUGUUAAAUUAAAAAUGAACUAUUUUAGUACAAGGUGGAAAAUACCUUCCUUGACACAUUUCAAGUAAAAGAAAACCACACAAAACAAAUGGUUUUAGUUAACCACAUGCUCAGUAUGAAUCCCAGGGCCUGCCAAAGAAAUCUAAAGUAAUCAUAGCAGCAUUAAUGGAUGUAUGAAGUUUACAAUAAAAUCGAUAACAAUCCCCUUGUUCUCUUGGUUGGCUAGAGCACAUCUGCUGGUGGGUUCAACAAAAGGGGCUCCCUUUAAAGAAGAAGACUGAGAAGCUGGAAUGAAUCCAGAGGAAAGGAUGAAAAGCACUCGUUUGAUUACUGAGAGGAUAGCUGGAGAAGUGAAGAAUAAUGUGAUGUUCAGCUCAAACUCCUUGGGGGAAUUCGGUUGUGAAAAUGGAAUUACCCAAGUUGGAUUCCGCCCAGGAUGCCAAGCUUAAGUUAUUGGGUAAGUGCACAUUAGAAAAAUGAAUUUUGGCAGCUGCCAAAAUAUUCUCUUUAUGUGAAAGUAAGUGACCUUGGGUUUAGUUUCUGUUAACGGCUGGCUUUUUCUGGCAGAGGCAAGAGAUGGAUACUUUGCAAUGGUUUUGCAAUGACAGCAGCAGUACCAGGAAACUUGCGGGUUGUUACAGUGCAUCCAUUUCUCAGCAUCCAUUAUAGUUAGGAAUGUGAUGGACCAAAUGUGCUUUUUAUUUUGCCAGUGUUUGGACUCUUCAUUUGGAGAAUAACCCAUGAUUGUAGCUGACUAUAUUCCAAGAUUCAUAAGCUUUGGCGCCUGAAUCAGAUACCUAUGGAGGAAAAAGAAGCAAUUUAUUCAUUCCUUUCUUUUUUUUCCUCUCCCAUUUAACUGUCCCAAAUGUCAGUGAAUGAGUCAAAUGUUCAAUAUUUUUCCACAGGGGCUGACUUUGGAGAAGCCAGUACAGUCCAUCAUACUGUUUUCUCAACUAGUUCAUCGUGACAUUCUGAGAUUUUGAAAGGACACCUUUUCCGUGUCAAGCCGUCCCAGGGUGGCUAAUAUGCCUUUGCUCAUUUUUGACAAGACAGAGGGAGGACAGGGUGACAACACAGCAGGAUAAAAGGGGAGAGAGUGGCUGGAUGCUGGCUGUUUAUGCGUGGAUGUUGAGAGUGGAAAAUGCAGAUGGAACUGAGGGUAAGAUGCCAGGGAGUUGCAAGAGGGCUCCUUCUCUGAAUAACCUCAUAUUCCAGAAAACUCAUAAAAUUGGAAAAUAGUUUUAAACAGUGGAAGCCUUCUCUGAGGCAUUUAUAUUCCCUGUUAAUAAGGUCACAAAUAAUCACCUUUAUUAUCAAUCCAAAUAAAGUAUAUGAUGCUGCUCAUGGUAGGAUUGGGAGAGAACCACCCCAAAAUACCUCCCCAACUAGCCUAGUAAGGUGCCUACAGGUUCUACCCAUACUCUUUCUUUGAGUAAAAGCACUAGCUUUCAAAUAUCCUGAGAAAAUGCUGGUAUUUUAACUGGGAGAAGAAGAUCAAUGGACAGGGACAGGGUUGGUUUAUUUAGCUGUCUGCUAAGAGUGCAAGAGAUUUGCGAUGGACUGAAUGUUUAUGUCUCUCCCAAAUUCAUGUAUUGAAAUCCUAAUCCCAAGGUGGAGUAUUAGGAGGUGGGGCCGGUGCACAACAGCAAGUGCUCUCACAGUGGAGAGCUCUGGGAAGGCAAAAACAUCCAUGUGUUUGGAGGACCCAGCAAAUGAGCCAGCAGAUUCAUGCCAACAUAGACAUGUGUGAGCUACUUAAUGGUUGUGGCUUCACUACUUCCCUCCAACUUUCACACAAUAUCUCCUGUGGUCCACACUAAUGGGAAACACGCAGCAAAGGGAAUUCUGGGAAAUGCAGUUCAGCCUCAUCAAGUUGACACCCAUCAAGCCACCAUACCAGGUCAGUUGAUUCCAGGAUGUGUGGCCUUUCCAUGACAACACAUUGCCCCUCCUCAAAUGGCUCUGUCCAUUGCUUGCUCAAUCUUUACACCCAAGAAAGGCAUUCUUCCUAGGUCAGCUCAGUUUAAGUAUUGAUACCACAGGCCUGGAACAGGGCAAGGCACGGUGGAGAAGGAUCAAGAGGUGAGCAUCAUCCUGAGGAGACCCUACAACAAUUAAACUGCAGUUGGAAAGAAAAAGAGUCUCAUCCUUGGGGUGAGCAUAGUAAGGGUGAGGCACUUGGUCUUCCACAUAUCCCUGGCCCCCAGUACCACUUUCUCCCAUAGCCCCAGGUACAGCUGUGCCGUCUCUGUACUGCACUAAAGUGUCCAGCCGAGGGGGAGGGAAGACAGUGGGCUGAAUUAUAGCCCUGCCUUUCUCCCCAGUCUCAGAGAUGUUUCAGCCCAGAGGAAUAAAAGCUUUUUUCCCAAUCCAUGGGCCUGAAGGAGCCACCUUUUUAUAAUUUGCACAAAGGCAUUAGAGGUAUAACUGUGCCCCUUGAAUCAUCUGCCUAUAGCUGUCUGACAUAAUAAAAAAUAUAUAUUUGGUCUUUUACCCCAGUUCCUGACACAUGGGUCUUAAAACCCUCAUCAUUUCCUGAAUGAUAGGAGUAAGAGGAGCACCAUUUGUUAUAUUUGGUCUUAUUCUCUGUUCCCUGGCACAAGAGCUUUUAAGAACCUUGGAAUCUCCAGAGUGAUGACUGUCUUUUUUAUGCUAAUGAGAUGACUAGUACCUGGGGUCCCUAGCCAGCUUCAGGAUGAGGGCUGGUCACCUGAAAGACCAAGCCUUGAUGACAGGGUUAGAACUUUCAGCCAUAUCUCCCUUCCCCAUUCCCCACCUCAACUUCCUGGGAGGGGAGAGGGGCUGGAGAGUGAGUCAAUCACUAACAGCCAGUGAUUGAACCAACCAUAUCUACACAAUGAACCCCCCAUAAAAACCCUAAACAACGGGGUUCAGAGAGCUCCUGGGUUGGUGGACACAUUCACGUGUUGGGAGGGUGGUGCACCCCAACUCCAUGGGGACAGAAGCUCCUGUACUUGGUACCCUUUUGGACCUCCCUCCAGGUACUGCAUUGUCUGUGUGCUCAUUUGUAUUCCUUAUACUCUCCUUUGUAAUAAACUAGUAAUGGUAGAAUGUUUCUGAGUUCUGUGAGCCACUGCAGAAAAUUAUGAAAGCUUAGGGGAUUGUGAGAGCCCCUGAUCUGUAGGCAAGCCGGAAGUUAUGGGUCACCUGGAGACCCACUACUUGCAAUUGGCAAAUGAAGUGGGGGCAGUCUUGUGGGACUGAGUCCUUAAUCUGUGGGGCUUGUGUUAACUGUCAGCACAAGCUAACCAGUGUCAUAAUUGAAGUAAAGUGGACAUCCAGCACCCAGUUGGUGUCCCCAGAGAAUUGGAGAAUUGCUCAGUAUGACCCACACAUUUGGCAUCAGAAGUGUGAAUAGAGAAAAGGGUUUGUUGUUGUUGUUUGUUUGUUUUUCAUUUGAGAAAGCCAAGCCAGGACAGUUUGCCCAGACUUCAGAGACUGCCUUCAGGCUAGCUCAGCUGCUGGUCUACCUGGCUUAAGCCUGAGAGGACCUCCAUGUGAGGAAAGUCGGAGCAGAGAUGAAAAACCAAACAACUAGUUUUACACUGGUCCUCCCAAAGCAUCAGGACAAUGCCACCUUUGUCAGGGCUUUGAAAAGAAAAUAAAUAAUUGUUAACAGGAUCACAUACUUGGUAUUGUGCUGAGGAUGUUAUAUGAAUUAUUCAUUCAAUAAGUGUUUAUUGAUGACCUACUAUAUGCCAGAAAAUAUUCCAGGUGCUGAGGAUAUAGAAGAAAACAGACAAAAAUCCCUGCCCUCAUGGAAUUUACAUUCCAAAGGGAGAAAGGUAAGAGAAUUUAAAAAGUAAAAUAUAUGAUAUGGAAAUGAUGAUAAAUGUCAUAUAGAAAAAUAAAACAAAGAAGGGUGCUAGGAAAUGCUGGUGAGAGUUGAGGAGGGGAAGGUAGCUCUUUUAAAUGUGGUGACCUGGUAAAGAUCUCACUUCAAACUGAUCUGGGGCCAGGUGCAGCGGCUCAUGCCUAUAAUCCCAGCACUUUGAGAGGUGUAGGCUAGAGGAUCGCUUGGGUUCAGGAAUUUGAGACAUAGCGAGAGCCUAUCUGUAUUUAAAACAACAAACACAAACUGAUCCAGAGGACAUUGCAUCAGACAGAUUAUAUUGUUAUCAUUUCACAGAUUAGGAAACUGAAGCUUAGAAUAUGAAAUCUUUUUCUUAGGAAAAGAUCUGUUUUCAGCUAUUCAUAUGUUAGAGUCUAUCUCUUCCCUAAGUAUUUGCAUGGCACUUGUUCUUUAGCAGUAGAAUGCAAAGCAAUUUGUACACGGUUAAGGAAUUUUAACACCAAAAGUUGUGCUGAAGGUCUGAGAGAAGAGGAGAGCUUUCAUCUCUUGGGACUCCUACAAUCACAAUGCCUUGGUUGGUGGGUCCUGCGUAUCUAGUCUUCCUCUUGACCUAGAACAAACCACUUCUGAUGCUAGGCAGGGCUCUGUGGCCACAGAACAGCUUUAUGUUGUAGUUUUCUCAGCCAAUUUUUAAUUAGACUUUGUUUUUGUUUUAGCAGUUUUAGGUGCACAACAACAUUGAACAGGAAGUACAGAGUGUUCCCACAAACCCCCUACCCUCACACCAUACAAUCUCCCCAACUAAUGACAUAUUGCCAGAACAGACUUAUUUACAAGGUUAACUUUUUCCCUGUCCUGCCCCUUUCUCACAGAUCAAAUCCGGGCUACAGAUUCCGUUGGUAUUGCUCUUUGGGUCCUGAGUCCCCCAUUGCCUACCUGGGCUGCCCAGGCUGUCAGGGGCCUGCCAUUCUCUCCUUGCAGAUGCACAGUACCUGCAGAGGAUGUACAACGAGUAUACUCCUUCUACUUAUUAAAAAAGGUUAACUGUAAAGCAGCCUCAGGAAGGUCCUUCGGGAGGUAUUCUAGAAGAAGGCAUUGUUCUCAUAGGAGAUGACAGCUCCAUGUGUGUUACUGCCCCUGAAGACCUUCCAGUGGGACAAGAUGUGGAGAUGGAAGACAGUGAUAUUGAUGAUCCUGAUUGUGGGGAGGCCUAGGCUAAUGUGUGUGUUUGUGUUUUAGUUUAAAAAGAAAAAAAAAUAGAAAAAGGUUUUAAAGAACAAAGAUAUAAAUAUUUUUGUACAGUUGUACAAUAUAUUUGUACUUUAAGUGUUAUUAUAAAAGAGACAAAAUGUUAAAAAAAUUAAAAAACGUUUAAAGUUAAAAAGUUACGGUAAACUAAGGCUAA